UACGUAGGGUGCGAGCGUUGUCCGGAAUUACUGGGCGUAAAGAGCUCGUAGGUGGUUUGUCGCGUUGUCCGUGAAAACUCACAACUCAAUUGUGGGCGUGCGGGCGAUACGGGCAGACUGGAGUUCGGCAGGGGAGACUGGAAUUCCUGGUGUAGCGGUGAAAUGCGCAGAUAUCAGGAGGAACACCGGUGGCGAAGGCGGGUCUCUGGGCCGAUACUGACGCUGAGGAGCGAAAGCGUGGGGAGCAAACAGG
rnacentral:rRNA from 1 species